rnacentral:rRNA from 1 species
GAUGAACGCUGGCGGCGUGCCUAAUACAUGCAAGUAGAACGCUGAAGGAGGAGCUUGCUCUUCUGGAUGAGUUGCGAACGGGUGAGUAACGCGUAGGUAACCUGCCUGGUAGCGGGGGAUAACUAUUGGAAACGAUAGCUAAUACCGCAUGACAACAGUUAUUGCAUGAUAACUGUUUAAAAGGGGCAACUGCUCCACUACCAGAUGGACCUGCGUUGUAUUAGCUAGUUGGUGAGGUAACGGCUCACCAAGGCGACGAUACAUAGCCGACCUGAGAGGGUGAUCGGCCACACUGGGACUGAGACACGGCCCAGACUCCUACGGGAGGCAGCAGUAGGGAAUCUUCGGCAAUGGACGGAAGUCUGACCGAGCAACGCCGCGUGAGUGAAGAAGGUUUUCGGAUCGUAAAGCUCGGUUGUAAGAGAAGAACGAGUGUGAGAGUGGAAAGUUCACACUGUGACGGUAUCUCACCAGAAAGGGACGGCUAACUACGUG